UAGGUUUGAAAUGCGCAAUUUCAUCAACAGGAGAAAUGUGCGAGCUUUAUUGAAGAAGUACAGUGAUUCAAAGCUGCGUUGGGACGAAUUUCAAGAAUUAAAAUCUGAAAUAUCUUCAAAGGGGCUUAGGACUAUAUGAGGGAUCACGAAUCACCAAAUAUCCCAUUUACCAUUUUACGAACACGUUUUCCUGAUGCGCCAGAGUUGGUCAUUUACGAUAAUGCCUGCAGAUUGCACGAGUAUUGUUUGAACCGAGAUCCAGCAUGUUUUAAGAAAGCAAAAUUUGUUGUUGAUAAGUUUCAUUGGAAAAAUCAUUCAGCUAAACUGCCAUACUCUUCCUAUUUUACUUGAAGCGAACUUAUUGAUCCAAAAAUGGCCGUUUUUAUGUUCUCACAAAAUUUGUUGAUUUAUAACUGUCCUUUAUGUGUAGGAUGCUGCGAAGGAUAUAACAUGAAAUUGUAUCCCACGCUCAAUAUGUACAAUAAACAAGCUGCUGAACAGUGCAAUUCGUGUAUUAAGCCUCCAUGGUUUCUUACAUGGAAUGCGAUAACUUUUUUCUUUUUACAAAACUUCAUAUUUGGCACAGGAAUAUGUUACGCAUUGUUAAAUACAAUCCCGAGAGAGAAAUAGCCUACAAACACUAUUUUCUCACUCUUAGUCGCGUCUCAUGACCUCUGCGGUGAACCACUG